AUGGUUUUAAAUGCUAAUUUGCUGAAUUAGAAAUGUAUAUCUAUCUCUUAAAUUAGUUUGGAGAGUCUCCCUGUAUAUUGCUGCACUAGAGCUGCCUACAAUUUCAGCUGUGAACCACAGAAACUUCUGGAGAGUCACAGCUUCCCAAAUCUUGAUUAAAAUAUCUCACUUGUGUUCUUUUUAAUCUUCUGGUUUUUCUCCUGCCACUUUGAAUCAUUGGCAAUAGAGAAGGCUUAAUGUGAUGGAAUUCCCAGAGCCUCAAAAUGAAAAUGGACAUUUUGAAAAUACUGAGGAACAAGAACAGAUGGGACAUUUUUAUGGCAUCAAAUUAUUAUCAAGCACCCUCCCCAUGUAGCCAAGAAAUAGAAAGAAGAUCAAAUGCAAAGGAAGCACACAGAAACUUUGACACAUUUUGUUAAUGAGAACCAAGUUACAUAUAUUCAGUUUCAAAAAUUAUUCAACAUAAAUCCUUUUUUCCUAAAUCUGUCUAUUCAGAAUCUGUGUCAUAAUCUCACUUUUUGUAGUACUCAACUAAUUUAAGGGCAGUAUCAUAUCUCAAAAUUUUCUAAAUCUGAGUUUAAAAUGUUAUACUUUAAUGCUAUAUUGAUGUUAUUUUAAUAUCAGCUAUAUAAAAGUAUGGAAGAAAAUGCUGAAAGAUCCGAAGAACAGUUUUAUCCACCUGGCUAAGCCUUUAUUUCUUUUUCAAUUUCUUUCGUAGCUCUCCCAUCACUGAUUUCUACUUAAUCUUUCUUAAAGUCUAAAUCAGUAGGGUUUAGUGCCUGUCUCUGAUUGUCGGUUCAGUAUAAUCCACCCAUUCUUCUCAGCUAUGUAGAUAGUCAGUUCUGAUAAAUAAAUGUAAACUGUUGUAUUAAUUUGCAAGAACUAAAUAUAUUACAGGAAUUGAUGGUGUGCUA